UGUAUGAGCCGCCUGCGCAGAGAUAUGUGUUUUGAACAGUGAGGAGGAAGGCUAGUUUUAAGGAAAAUUAGAUUGUAGCUCGUUGUUGCCUACGUUACUUUGAUAGAAAAGAGGUGUUAUUUGUGUAGUAAGAACGUAACCCACGAGUUAUUGAUCCGGGAAAUUCCAAUCUUAAUAUGUUCUCUGAACCAACUAUUAAUAUUGUUUUAUAAAAAUUAGUAGGCUGUUUGAUUUCGUAAUAUUACAGUCGAUUACUUUAUUUUUGUGACUUUUAUUAAGGAUAACGUUGGACAUUUUAUUAAUCUUUUUGAAAAAGUGUCUCUGGACUAUUCCCUGUGUGACGCUACGUUAGUCUGGGCGUUGGUUAAAAAAAGUCGAAAGUGAAAGCUUUCACCAAGCCUGUUUAACAUUUCUCGGACGGCUGUAUUCUCACCUCUUUGGACAAUGGAAGGGGAUUUCCAAUAGUAAACAUGUCUUCAGUGAAGGUUAUGCUUGUAGUCUCUCUCUUCAUCCCUGCUGUGAGACCCGAUUCAGGUUUGUUUGAAUUGGAAUGCCUACCUGCAGUUGGAAUUCUUGCUCAGACCACAGUUAUCAGAUGCUUUUCAAAGACACCACAGAUAUUCAGAU